GUUAUACUCCCUCCGUCCGGAAAUACUUGUCGGAGAAAUGCAUAAAAAUGGAUGUAUCUAGAACUAAAAUACAUCUAGAUACAUCCAUUCCUCCGACAAGUAUUUCCGGACGGAGGGAGUACAUA
rnacentral:pre_miRNA from 1 species